rnacentral:rRNA from 1 species
CCUACGGGAGGCAGCAGUAAGGAAUAUUGGACAAUGGUCGCAAGACUGAUCCAGCCAUGCCGCGUGCAGGAUGACAGCCCUAUGGGUCGUAAACUGCUUUUGUGCGAGAAAAAACCCCUCUACGUGUAGAGGGCUGAUUGUAUCGUAAGAAUAAGGAUCGGCUAACUCCGUGCCAGCAGCCGCGGUAAUACGGAGGAUCCAAGCGUUAUCCGGAUUCAUUGGGUUUAAAGGGUGCGUAGGCGGAAUGAUAAGUCAGUGGUGAAAUCCUGCAGCUUAACUGCAGAACUGCCAUUGAUACUGUCAAUCUUGAGUACAUUUGAUGUGGGCGGAAUGUGUCAUGUAGCGGUGAAAUGCUUAGAUAUGACACAGAACACCGAUUGCGAAGGCAGCUCACAAAACUGUAACUGACGCUGGAGGACGACGAAGACGUAGGGUAGUACAAACGAAGUAGUAGUACUACCGUACGGUACGUACCGACGCUAGUAAACUAAUAGUAUUACUUACGUAUUGUUUGUCGAUACACUAGUAA